rnacentral:misc_RNA from 1 species
AAGUCGUAACAAGGUUUCCGUAGGUGAACCUGCGGAAGGAUCAUUAACACGAAUCUUUUGACUCUUUAUCCAAUAUUCAAACCAACCGUGAAUUUAUCUCCUCCCUAUUUGUGCAAUAUUUAAUAUUUCAAAUAUUUCAAAUAGGCUAACAAUUAUAUGCAAUUCUAUGCUAUAAUUCCAAUGAAAACCCCAUUUUUAUCUAACUAUGAAUUUUGUCUAGUUAACUGUGAAUAAUUCACUUAACAUUCAAAUAACUCUAUACUAUACACUUAACAAUCAUAUAUCUAUAUAUAUAUAUAUAUAUUGUUGUUUUGUGUUUUUAUUGUAUCUUUAAGAAACAAUUUAUUCUAUAUUAACAACUCUUAACAAUGGAUAUCUUGGUUCUC